ensembl:lncRNA
AUGAAAAAUUCACAGAGACGAGGAGCUGGAAGAAAUCGACAUUUCUCCUGCGACUUUCACUUCGGGGAGAGCAAGAGAAACCAGCUGACACGCAAACAACGAGACCCUCAAGGACAAAGUCAGACGCCUGUUUGCUUCCGUUGCUCAAGUGCUGAAAACAAGAUGUUAGAGGUGGGCGGUGUGACCAAAAUCUUAAAUCACGCCAUGAGUAAUUUUAUAUCGCACUAACAGUGGGAUAAACAGUAUAGUAAGCAGUCUGUACAUGCAGUUCACUUCUACUUGAUUUAUGUAGUUUGCACUGAUGGCAUCAGGUUUUUUACGCCUGUUAUCGUCCCUCCAUUGCUCUUAUUUGCCACAUCACACACAAUCCAGUCAGGCCCUGUGUUUUCAUGGAUGGCGGUUUGCUCUGACAGGUUAUGUUUAGAGCUGAGUAAGUGGGCACUUGUGCGGCAUAAGCAGAAAGCAGCACUGCUUUAACAGCUGUCAGCGAGCACACAGCCUCUCCUCUCCUUCACACUUCCUCCGACAGUAAUGCACCCGGAAACGGAGAAAAGCAGCUGCCUGUCUGACCAUAAAGUCGGGAGCAGGGGCGUUAAUUGUUUCCCCACUGAGAAAGAAUUAGUUCAGGCCAACCACCAGCUCAAACUCCAGGGAGAAGCGAGAUGGGUGGUGGGCCGUUUUGGCAGAGCCGGAGAGGAGAGUGGGGGCAGGCCCAGCUGAAACUCGAUUAGACAGUGUGGGGAAGGCGUGGAGAUUUCGUUCCAGGAUGUCCACACACAUGCCCAAUUCAAUCUCAGGUUACUCCAACAACAACGGAAAGCAAGAAAGAUAAAUAACCAACCCAGACAAAGAUAAAGAGUCUGUAUAGGUGGUGAAUGACUCCAUAUUAUCUAUUAUAAAACAAAGUUCCUGCACUCAGAUCUGUAAAGUAGCUGCUAAAUGCAACCGUACAGCAGCUGGAUUUCAGUAUUUUGGUGUAAACAGCCUGCAGUUAAACUCAUAGAAUAUGGCGUAAUUGUUUAUUGAGAUAUAUUGAGAAAUAUGAUAAAAUCUACAAGGGAUUAUAUUUUUUGCAUAAAGAAAAUGACAUCUAAUUUGGAUUUUUUGCUUCAUGUCAGUAUUCGUAUGACAGAUAAAUCCACUUUCCGCUCUAGUUCUCAUUUCUAUAAUGUCCAGAUGUUUUUAUUUUGAGUUUGAUUUUGAUUCUCAUUACUGGAUUUAUUUUAUUUUUUAUUAAUUUAUUUAGAAAAUAUAUUAUGUUCUUUCAUAGAUAGAUAGAUGGAUGGAUAGAAAGAUGCAUAUUUAGGAUUUUUGCAUUUUGCCAUUAUUUUCAAGAUAAAUAACCCCAUUUUCCCCUCUAAUUCUCAUUACAGUAAUAUCCAGAUGUUUUUCUUUUGAGCCCCCCCCCCCAUUAAUGUCAGUGUCGAUUCCCAUUAGAUUCUCAUUACUCCGUUUUCAUAUUUAAUUUAUUUAAAAUUUCUAGAUCUAUUUUUUGUUUGUUUAUUUUUUGAAAAAUAUAUCAUUUUGUUCCUUGCAUUAUGGUAAUAAGAUCUGAAAUUGUCAUGAAAAUAAUAUUGCAUUGCAAAAAAAACCCCUAAAAAAUCCUUUAAAGCCUUUUACGCACAUGUAAUUUCUUUGAUUUUG